rnacentral:rRNA from 1 species
AUUGAACGCUGGCGGCAGGCCUAACACAUGCAAGUCGAGCGAGCGGCGGACGGGUGAGUAAUGUCUGGGAAACUGCCUGAUGGAGGGGGAUAACUACUGGAAACGGUAGCUAAUACCGCAUACCAUCAGAUGUGCCCAGCUGGGAUUAGCUAGUAGGUGGGGUAACGGCUCACCUAGGCGAAGAUCCCUAGCUGGACUGAGAGGAUGACCAGCCACACUGUAACUGUGACACAGUCCAGCCUCCUGCGGUAGGCAGCAGUGGGGAAUAUUGCACAAGGGGCGCAAGCCUGAUGCAGCCAUGCGGCGUGUGUGAAGAAGGCCUUCGGGUUGUAAAGCGCUUUCAGCGAGGAGGCGUUACCCGCAGAAGAAGCACCGGCUAACUCCGUGCCAGCAGCCGCGGUAAUAC